GACGACGCUGGCGGCGUGCCUAACACAUGCAAGUCGAACGGGGUGAUUUCCUUCGGGAGAUCACUUAGUGGCGAACGGGUGAGUAACGCGUGAGAAACCUGCCCUCUACUCCGGAACAGCCCGUCGAAAGGCGGAUUAAUGCCGGAUGGUGUCACAUGCCCGCAUGGGCGUGUGACUAAAGGCAACGGUAGAGGAUGGGGAUGCGACUGAUUAGCUAGUAGGUGAGGUAAAGGCUCACCUAGGCGACGAUCUCUAGCUGGUCUGAGAGGAUGAUCAGCCACAUUGGGACUGAGACACGGCCCAGACUCCUACGGGAGGCAGCAGUGGGGAAUAUUGCACAAUGGGGGAAACCCUGAUGCAGCAACGCCGCGUGAGUGAUGACGGCCUUCGGGUUGUAAAGCUCUGUCUUCAGGGACGAUAAUGACGGUACCUGAGGAGGAAGCCACGGCUAACUACGUG
rnacentral:rRNA from 1 species